CCUACGGGAGGCAGCAGUGGGGAAUAUUGGGCAAUGGGCGCAAGCCUGACCCAGCAACGCCGCGUGAAGGAAGAAGGCUUUCGGGUUGUAAACUUCUUUUCUGAGGGACGAAGAAAGUGACGGUACCUCAUGAAUAAGCCACGGCUAACUACGUGCCAGCAGCCGCGGUAAUACGUAGGUGGCGAGCGUUAUCUGGAUGUAUUGGGUGUAAAGUGCGUGUAGGCGGGAGAGCAAGUCAGAUGUGAAAAUUCAGGACUCAACCCUGAGCCUGCAGUUGAAACUGGUUGUCUUGAGUGCUGGAGAGGCAAUCGGAAGUCGGUGUGUAGCGGUGAAAUGCGUAGAUAUACGGAGGAACACCAGUGGCGAAGGCGGAUUGCUGGACAGUAACUGACGCUGAGGCGCGAAAGCGUGGGGAGCAAACAGGAUUAGAUACCCCUGUAGUC
rnacentral:rRNA from 1 species